UAAGUAGCCUUGCCUCCAAAAAUUAAACUGAAAUCUAAUCAAGUCUCUGUACCCAAUUACCAAUUUACAGGAAGUACACAGAUCAUGAAACAUGGCAUCAUGGCGAUACAAGCAGUAAAAUCCAGAGUCUGGGAAACUACAGGCCAAACAGUUAUUACGGAAUAUGGAGCAGAGUUCCCUGUGCUAUACAGUGAUGUGGUCCUACAUAUGGAAGGUGGGCUUCACCUAUCGGAAGGAAGCAGGAGACACAUUCAUUGAGCACUGUGGCAGGUACCUUCAUUUAACUUAUUCCAAAAAGCCAAGGUCAAUGUGGGCCUUUGAACAUAAUCACAAAAUGAGGAACUAGUUCCUCCACUUGUCCAUGAUCUACUCCCCACCUACAGGAACUACACACCAAAUAUUCCUGGAUCUUUAGAUCCUGAUAUCUCAGAGAAGUUAGACCACUCCCUCCUUGUUCAAAUGGGAAAACGGGGUUUGGAAAGGUGAGAAAAGUGAUGACUCAAGACCAAUACUCAGGCCACCUGGCCCCUGGCCUCCAGUAUAAAUUCAGGGCCUCCCUGAGAACAUGAAGCUGCCUGAAGUUAACCCACACUUGCAGUUCACUGUUACUUGCAGCUGAGAGCACCCUAAACUGUUAUGCUUCUCUUACCCCAGGUCUCUUCCCCACACACACCUCUAUUUCUGUGUUUUGGCCUUUCUCCAACCAUUUUUAUAAUCAGACAGCAUUAAAUGUAGGGGUGUGUGUGAAUUUUGAGUGAGGACAAAUCCCCCAGCAAAGAGACUUCCAUUAAAACAAAUUCAUACUUGUUUCCUUAUCUCUAUUCCAGAGGCAGAGAUGCCCAGCAGAAUGGUCUUCCUGAAUGGAUUUGCCUAGUUAUAAUAAAUCUGGGGGUCUCUGGGAACGGGAGAGCUCACUGCUUUGCCUGGAAACCAGUCACCUGGUCUUCUGCCCCAAUAACCACAUCAUCGAUUCCAUUGCUCACUCAUGAAUAAGCUUUGUGCUGAGUGAUUUUGGCCCCAUGGCCCUGAUCCCUUAAAUGAAUGUCCAGGAUAUGACAGCCCCCAAACACAUUAGUCUUCUUCUAGUUCUGGAUGGCAAAUAUUAUAUAAUGCUUAAGGCUGGACUUGUUCCUAAGCCCUUGAAGUCUUCAGGUUCCUUGAUACCAGGGACAAAACCAUUAAAAGUCCUUAUUAAUUUAAUUCUGCCAACAGACUAGCAACUCCCCAGACUGAUAACAAAGCCAGGCAAAGCAGCUGUCAGUUUGAGGGUGGCAUCUGUGGAGGCAAACUCCUGCUCUCCCUGGCUUCUUCUUGAUCCAGGCAGAGAACAUAAAAAUUUGUUGCAUCAGAAACCUGAUUGAGCCCCAGAUCAAGGCAAAAUGUCAAUGCUUACAUGAGCUCUGCACUUCCCAUCUCCUACCUUGGGCUAUAAUUAGCAGUCAGGGAAAUCAGCAGGAGGUAUGAGAGCAUGUCUUUAAAAUUGAAUGGAAAUCAAUGGGGAAAUGACUUGCUUUACCGAAAUCUGUUCCACAUGCAAAGUUCCAGGAAUAUUUUAAAAUAAGGUCUGUUACAGGUUAAAUGCAACAUCUAAAUAACCUUCAGAUUAUAUAGCCAAUGACAUUUCUAGAUGAUCUUUAAAGUGCUUCCCAUCAUAUCCCUUUCUAAAAGAUGUAGGAGAAGUAGGAAUAUUAAUAAAUUAGUUCAUACUUAUGAGUAUUUCUCACAGUCUUUCCAAUGCUCUUCAGUCCCUUAAUAAUCUACAUGUAAUUUUAAAACUUUUUAUUAUGGAAAUUUCAAACAGAUAUGUUAAUGAACCUUCAUGUACCCUUAACCCAAUUUAAAUAAGUAUCAAUUCACAGUCAGUCUCAUUUUCUCUGUACUCCAAUCCAUUUUCCCCAUGUUCUCCAGAUUAUCUUGAAACAAAUCUCAAGUAUAUCAUUUAUUUUAAAUAUUUCAGCAAGCUAUAACCAUUGUUCCGUCCAGUUCUCAAAAAGACUUUUUCUGGAUCACUCCUGAUUUUUAGUAGUCAAUAGUUGUUUAAAACUUUGAUACAGUUUCUAUAAAAAUAAACAUAUUUACUUAUAAAUUUCUUUACGCUGAUUUAGUUAGUUCAUCCAUUUGUUCAUUCAUCACACGUCAGAAACAUUUAUUGGGAAUUCCCUUGUGGUCCAGUGGUUAGGCUCCUUGGUUCCACUGCAGGGGGCACGGGUUCAAUCCCAGGUCAUGGAACUAAGAUCCUGUAUGCUGCACAGCCAGAAAAAAAAAAAAAAAAAGAAAAAGAAAAAGGUUAUUAAGUACUUUAGUAUGUACUGGACCUACUUGGAAUUCUGGGAAUACAGCUAUGAACAAAGUAGACAAGAACCCCUGAUAUUAUAUUUUGGUAGGGAGAGGAAAAUAGUAAACAAAUUAGAAAAUUCAUAAACAGAUUUAUUUCAAAUGUCAAGAAAGGAACAAGGUAAUGUGAUAGUGACUCGGCCUGGUGGAGGGAGGGGAGGUGUGACAUUUUAGCUGAUACCUGAAGAAUAUAAAAGAACAGCAAUUUGAAGACUGGGUAUAGAGUGAACCAAGCAUAGAAAAUCAAAAAGACUGAGGCAAGGAAGAGAUUUCUGUGUCAGGGAACAGCAAGGAACACAGUGUAAAUUCAGCAUAGUAAACAAGGGAGAAACUGGUCAGACAUACAGCUGGAGAGUGUGGUAGACAGUGACCCCCAGCAAAUCAUCCCUUCCAAUAGUCAUGUCCUUGGUAUCCUGCAUGCCACACAGCCAGAAAAAAAAAAAAAAGAAAAAGAAAAAGUUUAUUAAGUACUUAGUAUGUACUGGACCUACUUGGAAUUCUGGGAAUACAGCUAUGAACAAAGUAGACAAGAACCCCUUAUACUAUAUUUUGGUAGGUAGAGAAAAAUAGUAAACAAAUUAGAAAAUUCAUAAGCAAGUUUACUUGGUCGUGCGCUUUGCUUUGGCCAGUGGGACAUUAGCAAGCAUGGUAAAAGGAGACUGGAUAAGCACUUGCACACUAGAGCUUGUCCUCUUGGAACACUCUCUCUGGAAGCUAGCCACCAUGCUGAAAAGUGACUUGAGCUAGACUAGUGAGUGAUGAGGGGCCACAUGGAGACACCCUCUGGAGGUUGAGAGUUCACCUUGGACAGUGCAGCGCCACCGAGCUCCUAAAAGAAUGUGGUCACAUUACUGCAGUCGACCCACAAAAUCAUGAGAAACCAUCAAUCACUGUUUUUAGUCAUUGUGGGGGGUGGUUAAUUACAUGGCAAUAGAAAACUGAAACAGAAAGUAGCACCUGGAAGUGGGGUGCUUCUGUAACGGAAACCUAAAGCAGGUGAUUUUGAGGUUGAGCCAUGGAGGAAGGCUGGAAGGGUGGCAAAGGCAGUGAGGAAACUGAAUGCUGGAAAGAUGGUCAUCUGUGUUGUAAAGCUGGGGAACAACUGGUAAAGCUGAUGACUGUGGUAGCAUGUAAGAUAGAAAAUGUAUUGAAUGAACUUGUGGAUCUGUCCAAAGGAAACUUCCAAGUAGAAUGCCAAAGGGGCUAAUCUGCUUCUUUUAGCUGCCUGUCAUAAAAUAUGGGAAGGAAGGAUGAAUGAGAAUUUCAGUUUUCAAGCAGAAAAAGUAAUAAAUGGCCUCAGGAUGCUGCCAGCAAAAUGUGAUCUUAGUCAAGAUCAAGUUGAGGGUGUGGCUGUAAGACCUAUUUUAAGACAUCAGAGCCCAAAAUGCAGAGGGCCUGUUCCCAAGAGAUGUGUGGAUCGGUGUGUGACUCUUGUCUAAUGGAGUAGAUUAUAAUUUACCAUACAGAACAUCCACAACAUUUUAAAAGGAACUGUACACACUUACAGUAAAGGAACAAAGACGGUUGAAAAUGAAAAGAGACCUCUGGGCUCCCACCUUUUCAUGAGCAAGAAGCAGACUGAGAAAUCAGCCUCAAAG